UACGUAGGGACCAAGCGUUGUUCGGAUUUACUGGGCGUAAAGGGCGCGUAGGCGGCUUGUCAAGUCACUUGUGAAAUCUCUGGGCUUAACCCAGAACGGCCAAGUGAAACUGACAUGCUAGAGUGCAGAAGGGGCAAUCGGAAUUCUUGGUGUAGCGGUGAAAUGCGUAGAUAUCAAGAGGAACACCUGAGGUGAAGACGGGUUGCUGGGCUGACACUGACGCUGAGACGCGAAAGCCAGGGGAGCAAACGGG
rnacentral:rRNA from 1 species